GACGAACGCUGGCGGCGUGCUUAACACAUGCAAGUCGAGCGGAGCGGCGAACGGGUGAGUAACGCGUGAGUAACUGCCCCCCUCUCUGGGAUAACAGUUGGAAACGGCUGCUAAUACCGGAUAGUGGGGGAUGACUCGCGUCCUAUCAGCUUGUUGGUGGGGUAGUGGCCUACCAAGGCGACGACGGGUAGCCGGCCUGGGAGGGCGACCGGCCACAGAGGGUACGGAUAGGGCCCAAACGCAUACGGGCGGCAGGGGUGGGGCAUAUUGCACAAUGGGGGGACUCUGAUGCAGAGACGCGCGUGCGGGAUGACGGCCUUGGGGUUGUAAACCGCUUUCAGUCAUGACGCGGUAGUGGCAGAAGAAGCACCGGCUAACUACGUGCCAGCAGCCGCGGUAAUUC
rnacentral:rRNA from 1 species